GUCUGCCCACUGAUAAAAUAAAUUUAAAGGGCCGCGGUAUUUUGACCGUGCAAAGGUAGCAUAAUCAUUAGUUUUUUAAUUGAAAUCUCGUAUGAAUGGCUGGACAAAAGAGAAUCUGUCUCUAUAAUAUUUGUUGAAUUUAACUUUUAAGUGAAAAGGCUUAAAUGAAUUGUAAAGACGAUAAGACCCUAUAAAGCUUAAUAUAAAUUGUGUGUUAUACAGAAUUUUAGGUUUAUAAAAGUAUAUUGCAUGAUUUUUAUUUUAUUGGGGUGAUAAAGGUAAAAUUUUUAGUAACNGCUUAAUUUUUGUGACAAUAUAAAUGAGUAGAUUUAUAAAAGAUCCUAAAUAAAGAUUAAAAGGUUAAGUUACUUUAGGGAUAACAGCGUAAUUUUUUUUGAGAGUUCUUAUCGACAAAAGAGUUUGCGACCUCGAUGUUGAAUUAAAAUAUCUUUAUAAUUGUAGUAGUUAUAAAAGGAGGUCUGUUCGACCUUUAAAUUUUU
rnacentral:rRNA from 1 species